AGAGUUUGAUCAUGGCUCAGAUUGAACGCUGGCGGCAGGCCUAACACAUGCAAGUCGAACGGUAACAGGAAACAGCUUGCUGUUUCGCUGACGAGUGGCGGACGGGUGAGUAAUGUCUGGGAAACUGCCUGAUGGAGGGGGAUAACUACUGGAAACGGUAGCUAAUACCGCAUAACGUCGCAAGACCAAAGAGGGGGACCUUCGGGCCUCUUGCCAUCAGAUGUGCCCAGAUGGGAUUAGCUAGUAGGUGGGGUAACGGCUCACCUAGGCGACGAUCCCUAGCUGGUCUGAGAGGAUGACCAGCCACACUGGAACUGAGACACGGUCCAGACUCCUACGGGAGGCAGCAGUGGGGAAUAUUGCACAAUGGGCGCAAGCCUGAUGCAGCCAUGCCGCGUGUAUGAAGAAGGCCUUCGGGUUGUAAAGUACUUUCAGCGGGGAGGAAGGGAGUAAAGUUAAUACCUUUGCUCAUUGACGUUACCCGCAGAAGAAGCACCGGCUAACUCCGUGCCAGCAGCCGCGGUAAUACGGAGGGUGCAAGCGUUAAUCGGAAUUACUGGGCGUAAAGCGCACGCAGGCGGUUUGUUAAGUCAGAUGUGAAAUCCCCGGGCUCAACCUGGGAACUGCAUCUGAUACUGGCAAGCUUGAGUCUCGUAGAGGGGGUAGAAUUCCAGGUGUAGCGGUGAAAUGCGUAGAGAUCUGGAGGAAUACCGGUGGCGAAGGCGGCCCCCUGGACGAAGACUGACGCUCAGGUGCGAAAGCGUGGGGAGCAAACAGGAUUAGAUACCCUGGUAGUCCACGCCGUAAACGAUGUCGACUUGGAGGUUGUGCCCUUGAGGCGUGGCUUCCGGAGCUAACGCGUUAAGUCGACCGCCUGGGGAGUACGGCCGCAAGGUUAAAACUCAAAUGAAUUGACGGGGGCCCGCACAAGCGGUGGAGCAUGUGGUUUAAUUCGAUGCAACGCGAAGAACCUUACCUGGUCUUGACAUCCACGGAAGUUUUCAGAGAUGAGAAUGUGCCUUCGGGAACCGUGAGACAGGUGCUGCAUGGCUGUCGUCAGCUCGUGUUGUGAAAUGUUGGGUUAAGUCCCGCAACGAGCGCAACCCUUAUCCUUUGUUGCCAGCGGUCCGGCCGGGAACUCAAAGGAGACUGCCAGUGAUAAACUGGAGGAAGGUGGGGAUGACGUCAAGUCAUCAUGGCCCUUACGACCAGGGCUACACACGUGCUACAAUGGCGCAUACAAAGAGAAGCGACCUCGCGAGAGCAAGCGGACCUCAUAAAGUGCGUCGUAGUCCGGAUUGGAGUCUGCAACUCGACUCCAUGAAGUCGGAAUCGCUAGUAAUCGUGGAUCAGAAUGCCACGGUGAAUACGUUCCCGGGCCUUGUACACACCGCCCGUCACACCAUGGGAGUGGGUUGCAAAAGAAGUAGGUAGCUUAACCUUCGGGAGGGCGCUUACCACUUUGUGAUUCAUGACUGGGGUGAAGUCGUAACAAGGUAACCGUAGGGGAACCUGCGGUUGGAUCACCU
rnacentral:rRNA from 1 species